GAAAGACAGGGAGCUGUUGGAGAGGGUCCAGAGAAGGGCCACAAAGAUGAUCAGAGGGCUGCAGCACCUCCUCUACAAAGACAGGCUGAGGGAGCUGGGCUUGUUCAGCCUGGAAAAGAGAAGGCUGCAGGGUGACCUCAUUGCAGCCUUCCAGGACCUGAAGGGAGCCUACAAACAGGAGGGGAGUCGACUCUUUGAAAGGGGAGAUAACAGCAGGACAGGGGGAAAUGGCUUUAAGUUGAAGGAGGGAAGAUUUAGGUUGGAUGUCAGGGGAAGUUCUUUACUGUGAGAGUGGUGAGGUGCUGGAACAGCUGCCCAGAGAGGCUGUGGAUGCCCCGUCCAUCCCUGGAGGUGUUCAAGGCCAGGUUGGAUGGGGCCCUGGGCAGCCUGGGCUGGUAUUACAUGUGGAGGUUGGUGGCCCUGCCUGUGGUGGGGGGGUUGGAGCUUCAUAGUCCUUGAGGUCCCUUCCAACCCAACCCAUUCUGUGAUUCCACACUCCCCUUUUUCCUGCCACUUCUUGCUUUACAUUAAAAUCAUAACUUUUAAUGCAUGAAACCGCUUAAAUGCAAUUAAAACCACUAACCCUCAGAGCACAGGAGACAAUUAAAUUGUUUCUUUGCCAUCCAUUACUGUAAUGGGGUCUAAGCAUGGCAUUAAAUUCAGCAAAUAAAGCAGCAGCGCAGGCAGGG
ensembl:lncRNA